UACGGGGGGAGCAAGCGUUGUUCGGAUUUACUGGGCGUAAAGGGCGCGUAGGCGGUCAGCACAAGUCAGUUGUGAAAAUCUCCGGGCUUAACUCGGAAAAGGUCAACUGAUACUGUGCGACUAGAGUGCGGAAGGGGGCAACUGGAAUUCUCGGUGUAGCGGUGAAAUGCGUAGAGAUCAGCAGGAAUACCCGUGGCGAAGGCGGCCCCCUGGGCCGAACCUGACGCUGAGGCGCGAAGGCUAGGGGGAGCGAACGGG
rnacentral:rRNA from 1 species